rnacentral:rRNA from 1 species
GACGAACGCUGGCGGCGUGCUUAACACAUGCAAGUCGAACGCUGAAGCUCAGCUUUUGUUGGGUGGAUGAGUGGCGAACGGGUGAGUAACACGUGAGUAACCUGCCCCCUUCUUUGGGAUAACGCCCGGAAACGGGUGCUAAUACUGGAUAUUCACUGGUCUUCGCAUGGGGGUUGGUGGAAAGGGUUUUUCUGGUGGGGGAUGGGCUCGCGGCCUAUCAGCUUGUUGGUGGGGUGAUGGCCUACCAAGGCUUUGACGGGUAGCCGGCCUGAGAGGGUGACCGGUCACAGUGGGACUGAGAUACGGCCCAGACGCCUACGGGAGGCAGCAGUGGGGAAUAUGGCACAAUGGGCGCAAGCCUGAUGCAGCGACGCCGCGUGAGGGAUGGAGGCCUUCGGGUUGUGAACCUCUUUCGCUCAUGGUCAAGCCGCAACAAUGGUUGUGGUGAGGGUAGUGGGUAAAGAAGCGCCGGCUAACUACGUG